GGCCUGUUGGCAGAACGUCUGGACCAUCUCGCGAUAAGCCCCCUGUCGGCGCUUACCCUUGAUGGCCUCAAGAGUUCUCUGGGGAAACUGAUUGUGAAGAUGUUGGUUCAUCAGCCUUACCCCAGCGAGAGAGGCUUUUGCCUCUUCCCUCGCCGUUAGCCGCACCUUCUCCUCACUCCACCUAGGCAGAAGCGUGUCGACUUGAACGGCGUCGUUGGCUUCGAUGGGGUGCUUACGUUUACCGUGCACCCCUAGCCCAAUUUUGGUCUGGAAGUCCCUGCUGCAGUGCUCGCAGACGAACCGCGUCGAUGACGCGCGCCACUACUCGGUACCGCCUCAUGUCUGCCCCGCACAGUUGCAGCAGCGAUACUACCGCUGGUCACAGCACUUUUUCUCCAUGCAUUCAAUUGCCAGGUCAUCCAAGAACCCGGCAGCAAUUUUCUUUUUCUUUGUUCCUCCAUUUGCCAUGGAUUUGCCACCCGCCUUCGUCGGUAGCGUGGCCGGUUGCACGACGGUACUCGUACGGUAUCGGGCCGCAACCAGUACAUUUUCGAAUGUGUUUGCGUCAGGCCCGUCGCAAGCUCGAUCAGUUCUUACCCGGAGGCACGGAUACGAGCCGUCCCCGGGCCUGGUCAGCUGCUGGCAGACGGUGUCCUUCGACUGGCCAAUUACCGGUCAGCGACGCUAUUGCUUUGGGUACUUUCAGGACCCGUCUUGAAACACGGACCAAGGAGUCUAACAUGUGCGCGAGUCAUUGGGAUAGAUAAACCUAAAGGCGAAAUGAAAGUGAAAGUCGUCCUUUGCGUCGACCAAGGGAGGAUGGGUCGAUGAUAUGAGACCUCGCACUCCCGGGGCGUCUCGUUCUCUCUCUCAUUGAGAGAGAAGAGGCGCACCAAGAGCGUACACGUUGGGACCCGAAAGAUGGUGAACUAUGCCUGGUCAGGACGAAGUCAGGGGAAACCCUGAUGGAGGUCCGUAGCGAUUCUGACGUGCAAAUCGAUCGUCGGAACUGGGUAUAGGGGCGAAAGACUAAUCGAACCAUCUAGUAGCUGGUUCCCUCCGAAGUUUCCCUCAGGAUAGCUGGCACUCGCACGUCCAUAUCGAACGCAGAACGAGUCUCAUCUGGUAAAGCGAAUGAUUAGAGGCCUUGGGGCCGAAACGACCUCAACCUAUUCUCAAACUUUAAAUGGGUGAGAACUCUGGCUUGCUUGAAGCAUGAAGCCAAAGACAAUUUAAAUUGGAUCUUGAGUGCCAAGUGGGCCAAUUUUGGUAAGCAGAACUGGCGCUGUGGGAUGAACCAAACGCAGAGUUAAGGCGCUUAAGACGACGCUUAUUGGAUACCAUGAAAGGCGUUGGUUGCUUAUGACAGCAGGACGGUGGCCAUGGAAGUCGGAAUCCGCUAAGGAGUGUGUAACAACUCACCUGCCGAAGCAACUAGCCCUGAAAAUGGAUAGCGCUGAAGCGUCGCGCCUAUACUCCGCCGUCAGCGGCAAGAGAGGAGGCACGUGCGUCACUUCGGUGACCGUCCUUCAUGAAGCCCUGACGAGUAGGAGGGUCGCGGCGGUGUGCGCAGAAGGGUAUGGGCGUGAGCCUGCCUGGAGCCGCCGUCGGUGCAGAUCUUGGUGGUAGUAGCAAAUACUUCAGCGAGGACCUGGAGGACUGACGUGGAGAAGGGUUUCGUGUGAACAGCCGUUGCACACGAGUCAGUCGAUCCUAAGCCCUAUGAGAAAUCAUAUGCCGAUGAGGUGUCCUUAAACACAUGUGCAAACGCAACAAUUCGAACGCUAGGUACACACCCAUCGGGCGAAAGGGAAUCCGGUUCCUAUUCCGGAACCCGGUAGCGGAACCGAAAUCCAUUCGGGCCCUCAUUGAGUGUUCGUCGGGGUAACCCAAAAUGACCUGGAGACGCCGUCGGGAGAUCCGGGGAGAGUUUUCUUUUCUGUAUAAGCGUUCGAGUUCCCUGGAAACUUCUAGCAAGGAGAUAGGGUUUGGAACGCGAAGAGCACCGCAGUUGCGGCGGUGUCCGGAUAUUCCCCUCGGACCUUGAAAAUCCAGGAGAGGGCCACGUGGAGGUGUCGCACCGGUUCGUACCCAUAUCCGCAGCAGGUCUCCAAGGUUAAGAGCCUCUAGUCGAUAGAUUAAUGUAGGUAAGGGAAGUCGGCAAAUUGGAUCCGUAACUUCGGGAUAAGGAUUGGCUCUGAGGAGCGGGGCGUGUCGGGCUUGGUCGGGAAGCGGGUCUGGCUGACGUGCCGGGCCUGGGCGAGGUGAACCUGUGGUGUCUCCGCAUGGGAUCCGAGCUCGGUCCCGUGCCUUGGCCUCCCGCGGAUCUUCCUUGCUGCGAGGCUUCCGUUGGCGGCCUGCCGUCGGCGGUCGUCCUCUUCGGCCGCCAUUCAACGCUCAGCUCAGAACUGGCACGGACUAGGGGAAUCCGACUGUCUAAUUAAAACAAAGCAUUGCGAUGGUCCCCACGGGUGUUGACGCAAUGUGAUUUCUGCCCAGUGCUCUGAAUGUCAACGUGAAGAAAUUCAAAAAAAGCGCGGGUAAACGGCGGGAGUAACUAUGACUCUCUUAAUACAACAUCUUUUAAGGAGCCAUAGUUAUAGGAACGGUGAUGCGUAAUACAGACCUCUUGUUAAGUCCUUCAGCCUCUUCCGUUCUACUCGCACACAUACCUCCUCGU
rfam:Habropoda laboriosa contig27494, whole genome shotgun sequence.